CAAAGAUGUCCCCCUCAGAUGAAGAACAUAACCCUUCUCAAAAUGGAUUUAUACGACUAAAACCAAAAAAGCCAUAGUAACAGGAAUGGAGUUUAGACCUAACUGAUGAUGUGAAGGAAGAAAGAUCCUGAAUGCAGCAUGCAGAGGUUUGAACAACCAAGUGACUGAAUUUGGAGAAGAUUUAUGAGGAAGUUUGCAAACUUUCAGUGAAGCAGCUUGGAGGAUGGAAUUGAAAAAAUAAAGGACCUGGCCAGCCAUAAGAACUGGAGUAAUGGUUUGCAUAACAUACGCUGGCAGCGAAACGAAUCUGCAGUGGUGAUAAGACAACUUUAAGACAUCUUUGCAACACAGAAGAAGGACAAA